UAGAGUUUGAUCAUGGCUCAGAACGAACGCUGGCGGCAGGCCUAACACAUGCAAGUCGAACGCCCCGCAAGGGGAGUGGCAGACGGGUGAGUAACACGUGGGAACCUUCCCUAUAGUAUGGAAUAGCCCAGGGAAACUUGGAGUAAUACCGUAUACGCCCGCAAGGGGAAAGAUUUAUCGCUAUAGGAUGGGCCCGCGUAGGAUUAGCUUGUUGGUGAGGUAACGGCUCACCAAGGCGACGAUCGGUAGCUGGUCUGAGAGGAUGACCAGCCUCACUGGGACUGAGACACGGCCCAGACUCCUACGGGAGGCAGCAGUGGGGAAUAUUGGACAAUGGGGGCAACCCUGAUCCAGCAAUGCCGCGUGUGUGAAGAAGGCCUUCGGGUUGUAAAGCACUUUUAUCGGGAAAGAAACGCGCGAGGCUAAUACUCUCGCGAACUGACGGUACCCGAUGAAUAAGCACCGGCUAACUCCGUGCCAGCAGCCGCGGUAAUGCGACGUCGGGCC
rnacentral:rRNA from 1 species